rnacentral:pre_miRNA from 1 species
UGUCGAUGGCCUUUGUCCGAAAAUACUUUUCAUCAAAAUGGAUAAAAAGAGAUGUAUAUAAAAUUAAAAUACAUUUAGAUACAUCUUCUUUUAUUCAUUUAGAUGACAAGUAUUUCUGAACGGAGGGAGUAUAUG